GAUGAACGCUGGCGGCGUGCCUAAUACAUGCAAGUCGAGCGAACAGACGAGGAGCUUGCUCCUCUGACGUUAGCGGCGGACGGGUGAGUAACACGUGGAUAACCUACCUAUAAGACUGGGAUAACUUCGGGAAACCGGAGCUAAUACCGGAUAACAUGUUGAACCGCAUGGUUCAACAGUGAAAGACGGUCUUGCUGUCACUUAUAGAUGGAUCCGCGCCGCAUUAGCUAGUUGGUAAGGUAACGGCUUACCAAGGCAACGAUGCGUAGCCGACCUGAGAGGGUGAUCGGCCACACUGGAACUGAGACACGGUCCAGACUCCUACGGGAGGCAGCAGUAGGGAAUCUUCCGCAAUGGGCGAAAGCCUGACGGAGCAACGCCGCGUGAGUGAAGAAGGUCUUCGGAUCGUAAAACUCUGUUAUUAGGGAAGAACAAAUGUGUAAGUAACUGUGCACGUCUUGACGGUACCUAAUCAGAAAGCCACGGCUAACUACGUG
rnacentral:rRNA from 1 species